rnacentral:rRNA from 1 species
AACGAACGCUGGCGGCAUGCCUAACACAUGCCAGUCGAACGAGACCUUCGGGUCUAGUGGCGCACGGGUGCGUAACGCGUGGGAACCUGCCCUUAGGUUCGGAAUAACUCCCCGAAAGGGGUGCUAAUACCGGAUAAUGUCUUCGGACCAAAGAUUUAUCGCCUUUGGAUGGGCCCGCGUUGGAUUAGCUAGUUGGUAGGGUAAAAGCCUACCAAGGCGACGAUCCAUAGCUGGUCUGAGAGGAUGAUCAGCCACACUGGGACUGAGACACGGCCCAGACUCCUACGGGAGGCAGCAGUGGGGAAUAUUGGACAAUGGGCGAAAGCCUGAUCCAGCAAUGCCGCGUGAGUGAUGAAGGCCUUAGGGUUGUAAAGCUCUUUUACCCGGGAUGAUAAUGACUGUACCGGGAGAAUAAGCUCCGGCUAACUCCGUG